GGCUGUAUAGUGUAGUGGUUUAGCACUCGGGAUUUUGAUAUCGACCCGGGUUCGAACCGGCUUAGAGUACGUCAUUCCCGCAACCCCGGUUCGAACCCGGGUACGGCCU